CUCGGAUGUAACACGGUAAUACCCAAUAUAAUAUGUAUAAUGUAUAUGUCGUAUGUGUAUGCUUUAUUAUGUUUAUGUGUGGUGAUAGAAAUUUUAUUUAUCUAUUAUAUUAUAUUAUAAUAAUAUAAUACUUAGCUAAAAUGUUGCUUUAUCCACAAACUGUGUUUUUGUGCCCAUGCAAUUGUGGCCGUAGCUACAAUUUUCAACACCAGCUUCUUGCUCAUAAUGAUUUUGGAUGUCCUAAACAGUAUUGGAAAUUGCGAAUAUGCAGAAUUUGUUGGAAGUCAUGUUCACCUGUAUCGUCACUUAGAGCUCAUAUGAUAUUAGCACAUAAUGUGAUUUCGGAUUAAUAUGUAUAUCGUACAAAAAAAAUUAAGUAUUUCUUUGUUAUUAGUAGUUAAUUUAGAUAAUAAUUAAUGACUCAUAGUGAAAAAAAAGUUCCUAUUUGUAUUUUUUUUUUUUUUAUAAGUAUUUAUAUGAUUUUUCCUAAAAAUGUACUUUUAAGAUAAUGUUAAAUAAUUUUGUUAAAUGUAGGUAUGCGAUUUUUCAACUUUA